UACGGGGGGGGCAAGCGUUGUUCGGAAUUACUGGGCGUAAAGGGCUCGUAGGCGGCCAACUAAGUCGGAUGUGAAAUCCCCAGGCUUAACCUGGGAACUGCAUCCGAUACUGGAUGGCUUGAAUCCGGGAGAGGGAUGCGGAAUUCCAGGUGUAGCGGUGAAAUGCGUAGAUAUCUGGAGGAACACCGGUGGCGAAGGCGGCAUCCUGGACCGGCAUGACGCUGAGGAGCGAAAGCCAGGGGAGCAAACGGGG
rnacentral:rRNA from 1 species